CCUACGGGAGGCAGCAGUGGGGAAUCUUGCACAAUGGAGGAAACUCUGAUGCAGCGAUGCCGCGUGAGUGAAGAAGGCCUUUGGGUUGUAAAGCUCUUUCGUCGGGGAAGAAAAUGACUGUACCCGAAUAAGAAGGUCCGGCUAACUUCGUGCCAGCAGCCGCGGUAAUACGAAGGGACCUAGCGUAGUUCGGAAUUACUGGGCUUAAAGAGUUCGUAGGUGGUUGAAAAAGUUGGUGGUGAAAUCCCAGAGCUUAACUCUGGAACUGCCAUCAAAACUUUUCAGCUAGAGUUUGAUAGAGGAAAGCAGAAUUUCUAGUGUAGAGGUGAAAUUCGUAGAUAUUAGAAAGAAUACCAAUUGCGAAGGCAGCUUUCUGGAUCAUUACUGACACUGAGGAACGAAAGCAUGGGUAGCGAAGAGGAUUAGAUACCCUCGUAGUCCAUGCCGUAAACGAUGUGUGUUAGACGUUGGAAAUUUAUUUUCAGUGUCGCAGCGAAAGCGAUAAACACACCGCCUGGGGAGUACGACCGCAAGGUUAAAACUCAAAGGAAUUGACGG
rnacentral:rRNA from 1 species